GUGAAAAAAGUGAUUCAAUUUUAUUAAUUAAAACAGGACACCUAUUUUACUUCAGAAUAAAACCACGGUGAAAUGUAACAACAGCUACAUGUGAAUCAUACACAUGCAUACCCUUCUGAUUCUUUUGAUUAAUUUUUCCUCUCAACGAUAACUGCCCUCCCUUCAAUUUCCAAGAAUAAGACUCAUUUUUCAUUAAACACAGGUAGAUGAGUUCCCCUUGUGGCUCAGCUAUAACGAACCCAAUUAGUAUCUAUGAGAAUGUGGGUUCCAUCCCUGGCCUCGCUCAGUGGGCUAAGGAUCUGGCGUUGCGUGAGCUGUGGUGUAGGUCAGGGAUCGAACCCUCAACAUUCAGGUUCGUUAACCGGGUUCGUUAACCACUGAGCCACAACAGGAACUCCAUGAUCCACCUGCUACUUCCAAGACUUAAUCUCUUUCAUGUUACUGUCCUCUAUGUCCCCAUAGGUUCAUCAUCAUUCAUUCCUCCUCUUGGUCGCUUUCUGUCUUUGCUUCUCUGGAUCCCCCUUGCUCACACCUUUACAGAGAUGGAGACUGAAUAAAAUCCCCCGCCUACUGGAAAAGCACAUUUUCCAGGGGGUGGGAUUUAAGCCUGAAGAUUUUGGGUNCCCCCCCCCCCCCCCCCCGCGCGCGCCGCAGGAUGCGGGGAAGGGCUGACGACGCAGGGGAGAUCUGCGGGGCAGAAGGACCGGCCUGAGGGGACGCGAGGACAGAGGGGCUGCAGGGAGGGUGUCUCCGGAGAGGGCGGGUUCCCGAAUCCCAGGACCAGGGGGAGGAUGCGGCCUCUCCAGGAGCGGGGCGACCGGCGCUGCCCCCAGGGGCGGGGUACACGGACCCUCCUCGCCGAAGAGGACUUUCCAGGGAGAUAGUAAACGGUUUUAUGAAGACAAACGACGGGAAAGGUGGCAUCUACGUGGACCGAAGGCAGAAAAACCAAGGGCUCCGGGAGCAGGCACAGAGCGAUUGCAAAACCAACGGGAAUACCCGACCUGUAGCGGCGACGUCUGGAUUUGUUUGGGAAGAGGGGCGGGAGCUGGCUUUUUCGAACCGUGGCGGCCCCCACACCCUGAGGAAGGAGUACAGGAGACCGCGAAUCACAGAUUUGUGCGAGAAAGGAG
rnacentral:lncRNA from 1 species